GACCCCAUGCUAGAUGAGGAUAGAACUUGAUGUGGACGGAGAGGCCAGUAGCCAGUAGCCACUAGCCAGUGAAAUCAUGGAAGAAGUUCAUCCUCUCCCCCGCUUAAUAACAAAUUUUGACCCCACCAAGUAGGAAAAGAAGGGUAGAAGAAAGUGAAGGGAGACAUGUCGUGACUUGUGAAGAGCGUUGAUAAGAUAAGAGCGAAGGGGUGGAGGUGGAGUUCGGCUUGUUCGUUAUCAGGGGCCGUGUGAACGUGAUCGUGAUCGUGAUCGUGAUCGUGAUCGAAGAAGGCGGCUAAUGACAAGAAUAUUGCCGUGUGGUCCGGACAUGUUUUGAGUGACAAAUCUACCCUUUUUCCCUUUCAGUCAGAUUGCUAAUUUGCAGGGACGCGUUUGGAUUUCUUUCUCUAUUGGACUGGUUAAGAAUUUAAAUGAGUUGAGUUGAUUAAUGGGUUGUUUGGCGGAAUUCGGAUCCUUGUGCGUCUCGCGCUUCGAGAGUCCCACGUAUGUGCACGCACAGCACACAUUGUUUUAUAACUUGAACUGUCCCUGCCGGGUUAAACGAGUGUGUACUGAUUCGGGCUGGAAAAAAAUAAUUAAUUAAUUCAGUUAAAAAUUUA